UUGGAUCGUGGUGGUACUCCUGAAAGAAUAGAGUUCGAAAAUCUGGAUCCGGACGCAGAAGAAGAUGGAGAAGCGAUCCCGAGUGAAAUGGAUGAAGACGAAUGGACAGACCGCAAUUUUGGAGCAUCGACCGGCGACGGAGAGAUCGGCUCCAGCGAAGAACUGUCGACCUCUCCGAAUCGGAAGAUGACUCUGAGGAUGAUGAUCAAGAGGGUUUUGCAGAGGCACUCGACGUCCCGCUCACUGCAGACGAAACUCGCCGCCUGGCCGAGGACUGGACACGUCGUUACUCGAACCACAAGUCUGGGAAGAGUCCAGGAACAACAGCAAAAGAGGAGGAUGGUGAAGAUAGCGGAGCGCCCACGAGUCGGACGAUUCCCAGGGCAGGUACAGCACGCAGGAGUAUGAUAGUGAAGAUGAUGAAAGUGAAACUGCAACUGAGGGCGAAGAGGAACUGAAAGCACGAGAGCUGCGCAAACAAGAGGUGCGCGUGGACAUUGUGGACGGAAAGGUCGCGCUGAAUCCGAAUCCGACACUGAGGUAAUGUUCCACUCUCCACUCGACUCGUCAUACUAUAACUCACCUUCCUCACUUUCUCUUCUCUCGGCCUCCGACUACCCAACCCCCGUCGACCGUCGUGCUAGAUUUUCCUCGCCGGUCGGAGGUGCGAACAAAAACUAUCGUGCACUUUCCCUUGUUUCUCUCUUCGAGCGAGGCACAGAAGUUCAACAAGAGUCCGGCCAUCCACCUCGAUGCCCUCUCUGGUUAUUCAGGGUGCUCUCCCAUUGGGAGAUAUCGAUUCAUCCACCAGUGCGGUACCCACAGUACUUGUUUCUCGCUCAGAAUCUAUAAAAUCAAGUGAGGAUAAAUCACCUGUGGAAGUUGUACCUGCUAGUUCGGCUUUCUUAGAUGCCAAACCGGUGGUACCUAAAAAUUUGUCUUUGAAUAACUUAGUAUCUAGCGAUAAUGCUCAAAAUUCAAAUGAGAGUAAGCCCUUCCUUUGCUGACUUCUGUGUCUAGCUCAACGAAACCGAUCCCUAAAAAUCUAUCUUUUGAUAGCUCUUUAGAUCAACUAGCUCAUCAAACUGUGGGUAAAACUGGCGCUAUUUCGUGCUCUUUGCUUUUGGGUCCUGCGAAAAUUGCAGCCAGAAAUUCAUCUAUUGAUACUUCCUCAGAUAAUCUAGCUGACAGGUCAGUUUCUGAUAAAAGUAACUUGUCAGCGCCCAUUAAAAGAAUAAAAAAUCAAAGAGAAAUGAACCUGUCAGUGAUGGGACGGCUUCCUCCAUCCCCUCUGCCAGUGGGUCACCAGUUUUUGCCCCCAAAUUUGCAAAAUUUACCCUCCCAAAACGUGUUCCAGAUUUAAAGUCCACAUCAGAAAACAGCACUCCUUCACUGUCCCCACAGUUGAAGAGAAAAAUUUCAACGAAAAAUUCUACUGGUAGUGUCUCGUCCUCGGUCACACCCUCCGUGAGUGGUACACCUGCUGGGUCGCCCACCUUAGAGCGGAAAGUCUCCAUCGUAAAGCAAUAUCUCAGUGGCCAGAAAAGUGGAAAAGAAUCGGAUACCGAAAUCUCGCUUGUUAAACCAGCAGAUAAGCAACUUAAAA
rnacentral:lncRNA from 1 species